rnacentral:rRNA from 1 species
GGGGGCUAGCGUUGUUCGGAAUUACUGGGCGUAAAGCGCACGUAGGCGGCUUUGUAAGUUAGAGGUGAAAGCCCAGGGCUUAACCCUGGAAUUGCCUUUAAGACUGCAUCGCUAGAAUCGUGGAGAGGUGAGUGGAAUUCCGAGUGUAGAGGUGAAAUUCGUAGAUAUUCGGAAGAACACCAGUGGCGAAGGCGACUCACUGGACACGUAUUGACGCUGAGGUGCGAAAGCGUGGGGAGCAAACAGG